UCCCUGGUGGCUCAGACGGUCGAAAGAAUCUGCCUACAAUGCAGGAGACCCAGGUUCGAUCCCUGGGUUGGGAA
rnacentral:tRNA from 1 species